UUCGGCGUAAAGAGUGGUUAGGUUUAAUUGUAACUAGAGCCGAACUUUCUCAAAACUGUUAUACGCCCUUGAGAAUAGGAAUUACUUCUACGAAGGUGGCUUUAUUCUACUGAACCCACGAAAGCUAAGACACAAACUGGGAUUAGAUACCCCACUAUGCUUAGCCUUAAACACAGAUGUUACACUUACAUACAACAUCCGCCUGGGAACUACGAGCACUAGCUUAAAACCCAAAGGACUUGGCGGUGCUUAAUAACCCCCUAGAGGAGCCUGUUCUAGAACCGAUAACCCUCGUUAAACCUCACCCUUUCUUGCUUAUUCCGCCUAUAUACCGCCGUGGUCAGCUUACCCUGUGAAGGUAAAAUGUAAGUAGCAAACUUG
rnacentral:rRNA from 1 species